AUGAAGAAGAGGAUCAAGCAUGUCAAGACCUGGCGCACACUUGCUCAGAAGCUGAAAGAUAUCAAUGGCAGGCUUCAAGCGGCUAAACAGAGGAAGGAGCACUACGCCAUGCCAGAAAUCAGCAGAAAUGGUGCUGUUCAUGCGAACCAAGUUCUCAAAUUCACAAGGGAUGAGGACCUUGUAGGGAUUGCUGAGCACAAGCAACAGUUAAUACAAUGGCUGACAGGUGAUAUGCAGGAUGAAAGAAGCGAGAUUACCACUGUGUGGGGCAUGCCAGGUGUUGGGAAAACAACUUUGGUUGCUCAUGUGUACAAAACUGUAAAAGUAUCCUUCGAUGCCGCUGCAUGGAUAACUGUGUAG
rnacentral:rRNA from 1 species